GUCAAACCCUAGUCCCAGGUCCUCUCCCCCUCUCUCUCAAAUCCUGUCGGCGCUGGAGCCACAGAUCCUGUCCAUGGCCAGCGAAGGGAGGGCUAGCGGAGGUCCAUCGAGUGGAGCCACGGAUCCCGUCUCCACUCGCCUCGUCUCCACGGAUCCCGUGUUCACCCGCCUCGUCUCCAUGGCCGUCCGUCGGGGCUGGGCACGAUCACCGCCCUGCUCGUGCUCCUUCCUCUCCUCCUUACAUCUCCCUUUCUCUCUCGGUUCUCUCUAUCUCUCUCACCCUCUUCUUUUCUCUUCCCCGACAGGAGCAGGGAGCAGCACCAAAGCCACCAUCCCGCCGCCCAUGGAGGUCCAUCUCUCUUUCCAUUCACCGGCGACGUCCACGUGGAUCCGAUGACGAGCUGCGCCGCCGCGAGCCCUAUUCGAUCCAGCGCUGCAACGGCUGCGUCCCCGUUGACCCUCGUCCACGCCAACGUGGGCUAGCCUCCACCGACGCCUCCUACUGGCCCAGAUCCACAGCGCCCCGAGGAAGGCCAGCGGGGUUCCGUUUAGUGGUGGGGCCACAGAUCUCGUCGGUGGCCAAUUUAGGCGGCGGUCGGGGACCCACGAUGGCGAGAGAUGGUGGAGGAGGGUGGCACGCGCCUCCCUCGGGCCUCCUUCGACACUGCAGCGGCGGUGGUCCAAGCGCCCGGCGAGCUCCGGCGCUGAUUCUGUUUGCUCCGGCAAGCUUCGGUGCCGAUUUCGUUGGCUCCGGCGAACCCAUCCUCGUCCUACAGAGGGCGGCCUUUAAAUUGUUGACCCGACGUUUUUAACACUUUACGCAAUGUAAUUAGCUAAGUAUAGCUGGUAACUAUGGACUGAUGGCUAAUUAUAUUUGAGAUGAGACCGACCUUAAGUAGGAG
rnacentral:rRNA from 1 species